rnacentral:rRNA from 1 species
UACGUAGGUGGCAAGCGUUAUCCGGAUUUACUGGGUGUAAAGGGCGUGUAGGCGGGACUGCAAGUCAGAUGUGAAAAUUAUGGGCUCAACCCAUAACCUGCAUUUGAAACUGUAUUUCUUGAGUGCUGGAGAGGCAAUCGGAAUUCCGUGUGUAGCGGUGAAAUGCGUAGAUAUCACGCAGAACUCCGAUUGCGAAGGCAGCAUACCGGCGCCCGACUGACGCUGAGGCACGAAAGCGUGGGUAUCGAACAGG